AUAUCCCAUAACAUUGGCAUGGGCAUCCAUGUUGAUUGAAAGCAUUUAUCCGGUGUCUGAAGGUUGCGUGACAUUAGUAGUCGGUGGGGAAGGCCCACGAGGGACAAUGUCUGGGGGUUCUGAAGAAGGCCCCCCACACUGGGAUAACACGGCCCAGAUCCGGAGGCAGCAGUAGGAUAUUGGACAAUGGGCGAAGCUGAUCCAGCCAUGCCGGUGAAGGAAUAAGGUCCUAUGGGUCGUAACUUCUUUGACGCAGAGCAAUAAGGGACACGUGUGUUCCGAUGAGAGUAUGCGUCGAAUAAGCAU
rnacentral:rRNA from 1 species